GCUAUACAUGCAGUCGAACGGGAUCCAAGUGUUGUUAGCUUGCUAACGAUCUGGUGAGAGUGGCGCACGGGUGCGUAACGCGUGAGCAACCUACCCAUAUCAGGGGGAUAGCCCGAAGAAAUUCGGAUUAACACCGCAUAAGACUACGAGAUGGCAUCAUCAAGUAGUUAAAUAUUUAUAGGAUAUGGAUGGGCUCGCGUGACAUUAGCUAGUUGGUGAGGUAACGGCUCACCAAGGCGACGAUGUCUAGGGGCUCUGAGAGGAGAAUCCCCCACACUGGUACUGAGACACGGACCAGACUCCUACGGGAGGCAGCAGUAAGGAAUAUUGGUCAAUGGACGGAAGUCUGAACCAGCCAUGCCGCGUGCAGGAUGACUGCCCUAUGGGUUGUAAACUGCUUUUGUCGAGGAAUAAACCUAUCUACGUGUAGAUAGCUGAAUGUACUCGAAGAAUAAGGAUCGGCUAACUCCGUGCCAGCAGCCGCGGUAAUACGGAGGAUCCGAGCGUUAUCCGGAUUUAUUGGGUUUAAAGGGUGCGUAGGCGGCACUUUAAGUCAGGGGUGAAAGACGGCAGCUUAACUGUCGCAGUGCCUUUGAUACUGAAGUGCUUGAAUGCGGUUGAAGACGGCGGAAUGAGACAAGUAGCGGUGAAAUGCAUAGAUAUGUCUCAGAACACCGAUUGCGAAGGCAGCUGUCUAAGCCGUUAUUGACGCUGAUGCACGAAAGCGUGGGGAUCGAACAGGAUUAGAUACCCUGGUAGUCCACGCCCUAAACGAUGAUAACUCGAUGUUUGCGAUAUACCGUAAGCGUCCAAGCGAAAGCGUUAAGUUAUCCACCUGGGGAGUACGCCCGCAAGGGUGAAACUCAAAGGAAUUGACGGGGGCCCGCACAAGCGGAGGAGCAUGUGGUUUAAUUCGAUGAUACGCGAGGAACCUUACCC
rnacentral:rRNA from 1 species